UACAGAGGUCUCAAGCGUUGUUCGGAUUCAUUGGGCGUAAAGGGUGCGUAGGCGGCGCGGUAAGUCGGGUGUGAAAUCUCGGAGCUUAACUCCGAAACUGCAUUCGAUACUGCUGUGCUUGAGGACUGGAGAGGAGACUGGAAUUUACGGUGUAGCGGUGAAAUGCGUAGAUAUCUGGAGGAACACCGGUGGCGAAGGCGGCAUCCUGGACCGGUAUUGACGCUGAUGCGCGAAAGCCAGGGGAGCAAGCGGG
rnacentral:rRNA from 1 species